rnacentral:rRNA from 1 species
GACGAACGCUGGCGGCGUGCUUAACACAUGCAAGUCGAACGAAGUGGCGAACGGGUGAGUAAUACGUGGGUAACCUGCCCUCCUUUUUGGGAUAAGCCUUGGAAACGGGGUCUAAUACCGAAUAAAGGGGGAUGGGCUCGCGGCCUAUCAGCUUGUUGGUGGGGUGAUGGCCUACCAAGGCGGUGACGGGUAGCCGGCCUGAGAGGGGGAACUGCCACCUUGGGACGGAGAUACGGCCCAGACGACGACGGGGGGCAGAAGUGGGGGAUAUUGCAGAAUGGGCGAAAGACUGAUGCAGCGACGCCGAGUGGGGGAUGAAGGCUUUCGGGUUGUAAACCUCUGUCGCUAUCGAAGGGGUAGGUGGAGAAGAAGCGCCGGCUAACUACGUGCCAGCAGCCGCGGUAAUUC